GCUGUGGGCUCUGGGAUCCAUAAGUAGGCACCCCCUGCUUUAGAAGCACUGGCUGCUGUAACGCAGCACUUUUGCUCUGUGACCUACAGAACUGGGAGAUCCCUCAAGAUCCCUAAGAGGGACACUCCAGAAGCCAAGACAGGGCAUAGACACCUUAGCAGAAUGUCUUUGGGUUGAACCGCACCUUUGGGGACUUUUAUAGGUGAUGUCUUCUCAGCCCUCCAUCCUUCCCUGACUCUGGGUUUCAGAAAUCUCUGACACCAAUUGUUGACCUCAGGUGCCCACAGCUUGCUUGUCUGUGUUCCUUUGAAGAGACAUACGUCCUCUCCUCCGAAACAGCAUCAUAAGGUUUCUGCCUUGCUGUCUGCAGCCACCAUGAACUGCGGCCCCACCAUGCCACCCUGCCUUGGAGCCAACUGAGUAUGGAUGGAAACCACCAAAAAUUGUAAGAAAUAAACCUUCCCUUUCCCUUUGGGCAUCAGAGGGUAUUUUGUCUCAGUGAUGAGUAAAAAGUAACUAAGACAAGAAGUUUCCUGUACUUUCUUUGUAUUUGACUCCUUGGGUGACCAUUAUAAAUAAUACUAUAAACUAUGUGCCCUGUAUUGUCUUGUUAUCUUUGCAAAUCCUCACUACAGUAAUUCUGUACUCUGUCACUUUGUUGAAUUUGUUUAUCAGUUCUAAGACGGUUCUGUGGAAUUUUUUGGGUCCUCAGUAUAAGGGACUAUGUCAUCUUCAAAUAAUGAUAAUUAACUCCUUUCCUGUUCAUUUCUCUUUUAUUUCUUUCUCUUAUCUGAGCUCUCUGGCUAGAAUUUUGAAUACUAUAUUGAGCACCAGUGGUAAACAUGAACAUCCUUGUUUCAUUUAUUUCAAAGGAAAUACUUUUACCCCAUUCAGUAUGAUGUUGACUGUGUGUUUCUUAUAUACAGCUUUUCUCAAUUUGGAGUAAUAGCCUUCUACACCUAUUUUCAUUAGAAUUUUUGUCACAAAGGGGCGUUGGCUUUUGCCAAUAAUUUCUUCUCCAUCUUUUGAGAUGACUAUGUGAUUUUUACCUUUGAAUUCUAUGAAUGCGGUGUAUUAUGUUUAUUGAUUUACAUAUGUCGUAUCAUCCUGUAUCCUUUGGAUAAAGUUGACAUGGUCAUGAUGUAUAUUCUUUUUAUUGAUUUGCUGAAUUUUGUUUGCAAGUAUAUUAUUGAGGACUUUUGCAUCUAUAUUCAUCUAGGACAUUGACCUGUAGCUUUUUAAAAAUAUUUCUCCAGUUUUCUUAUCAAGGUAAUGAUGGCUUCAUGGAAAGACUGUGGAAACUUUUCUCCCCUUUAAAUUGGAUGGAAAAUUUUGAGGAAUAGUGCUGUCAUUCCUUAUCUAAAUAUCUAGUAAAAACUGAGUGAUAGGUCCUUUGGGUUCUGGGAUCUUCUUAGUGGGUAAAAGUUGUUAUUAGCAUUGUUUCAUAGUCUGUAUCUUCUUCAUUUGAUUUUAAUAAGG